GUGUGACGUCACUGGCGAGGACGCGCAGGUGAGUCAGCGCUGCAGGUAACUUCUGUUUUCAUUUUCUCCUGAAGGACUUGUGUUCUCUGAUAUGUGUUUGAUAUCUUUAUUUUUAAGCGAAUGAAGUGAUUUCGUUGCUGUUUCGUGUUGUCUGUGGUUGAUUUUAACAUUUGUGUUCACAUAAGACUAAGAUUGUGUGUUUGAGUGAACGCUGUUUCUGGAUUCUCAGGAUCCGUUAAGCUGAAUGAUUAGUUUGUCAUUUCCACACAGUGACAGAGUAAGUGCUGAAGAUCUCACUCUUCAUCAUGAAUCACACACAAACACCCCGAGAUGAGGAUUUCUCUCCAGGAUGCAGUUCAGUUUAUCAGAAGAAAUCAGAAGCAGAGCCCAGCUGUGUGUCUGUGAGGAGUGAUGCUUCUUUGCCUCAUCCAAUUAAUUUUAUGAAGACUGACGAGUCUAGAGGUCAUCCUCAAAAUCUCAGUUCAGUUCAUCAGAAGAGAUCAGAAGCAGAGCCCAGCUGUGUGUCUAUGAGGAGUGAUGCUUCUUUGCCUCGUCCAAUUAAUUUGAAGAGUGAUGACACAAGGUUUAACCUCAAGUAUUAAUGUAACGUAGAAUAACAAAGGUUCACAGGUCAAUAAACAACAGAGGUAGGCAACUGGGAAAACAAGACAGGGUAAAACGCUCAGAAAUGUUAGCCGUGGCAGUAACAAGACCUCGCAAAGAGGUGAUGCAAGGGUCUGGCUUAUAUGGCAGUCUCUGAUAGGGAACACCUGGCCGGUGAUCAGUCCAAGGUACGGGGCUUAUGGGUAAUGUAGUCAGUAUCAGUGUACGUGAGUGUUUGGAUGCAUGUAAGUGUCAGUAUUCGGGUGAUGGUGCCCUCUGCUGGCCACUGGAGGGACUCACGGGGUUCGUAUCCGUGACAGAGCCCCCUCCCUGCGAACGCCUCCUGGCGUGAGGUGGAGGACGAAGUCGGGGUCUACCUCGAGUUCGAGGGGCCGGUUUCUCUGGAUGUUCUCUAUGAAAAUCUGUGGUUAAGUUGGGGUCAAGAAUGUCCUCGGCAUUGAUCCAGGAACGUUCCUCUGGACCGUACCCCUCCCAGUCAACCACGUAUUGGAGGACUCGUCCCCGACGUCUCGAAUCAAGCAGCUCUCGCACCUGAUAGGUCUCCUCGCUCUCCACCUGAACCGGUUGGGGACUCUGCUCACGGGACCUCCCCUCGCCCUCCUCCUCAGGGGCAGCAGCGGGCUUGAGCAAUGACAUGUGGAAAGUGGGAGAAAUACGAUAUUUGUUAGGCAAAGCAAGG